rnacentral:rRNA from 1 species
UACGUAGGGGGCAAGCGUUGUCCGGAAUCAUUGGGCGUAAAGCGCGUGUAGGCGGUUCGGUAAGUCUGCUGUGAAAGUCCAGGGCUCAACCCUGGGAUGCCGGUGGAUACUGUCGGACUAGAGUACGGAAGAGGAGAGUGGAAUUCCCGGUGUAGCGGUGAAAUGCGCAGAUAUCGGGAAGAACACCCGUGGCGAAGGCGGCUCUCUGGGACGGUACUGACGCUGAGACGCGAAAGCGUGGGGAGCGAACAGG